rnacentral:pre_miRNA from 1 species
AAAGACUCAAUUCUUGGGUUUCCGUGUCCAACGUUUGAACGUCCGUCUUAUAUAAAAUUUUUAUGAUUAGUAUUUUUAUUACUGUUAGAUGAUAAAACAUGAAUAAUACUUUAUAUAUGACUUAUCUUUUAAAAUUUUUUCAUAUUUUUUUUAAAUAAAACGGACAAUCAAACGUUAGACAUGAAAACCUAGGAAUUAAG